UUUUCAAGAAUAAAUCCAAGAAUCUUCCCAAGCUUCAAUGGCAGCCUACAAAAUUCAUUUCGGCAACGGGAAGUCGAUUAUUCAACAAUUAACCUAAGAACAGAAACAUGUAUUGGGUAAUAACGUCAUCUUCGAGUUUUCAAUCACCAAUUGCGUGAGCAGAACACAGAGCUUUAACGCCAGCAACGAGUUACUAACAGUGGGUGGGAGAUACAAAUUGGAGACCUUUCCUUUCACCACCAAUUUUCAAGGAUCUUCAGAAUUGCGUGAAUUGAUGAAGGCUUACUUGAUUAAGAACCUUGAUUUGCAGAUAGAUUCUAACGGGCAUUUUAAGACUGCCAACGGAGUCGACAUCUUCUUUAAGAUUGCGGGCCAUCUUGGAGAUCAGGAAUUUAAUGUCGUCUCCAUCAACACUUUCAUCUAUUUUCUUGAUACGUACUUAAAGGUUAAGGAGGCAGUACGAGUUUGCUUCUAUGAUGGAGGGGAACUGGUGCAUAGAGUCCCCAAGAGUUUGUCCAUUUUGCGGCAGAGUAAUUUGCCGAUACACAUUUCUCGCUAAGCUGCAAUGCGCGCAUUGUCUUCAUCCUGUGUGCAUGAUUCGGUGGUUCAACAUGAACCGCUGCUGCCCGGCCUAUCGUGUAUGAUGCACAAAUCUGAAGAGCUUAUUACUUGGCAAAAACCACCCAGAGGAUGGCUGAAGGUGAACAUUGAUGGUUUUUAUUUUGCUACAACUAAUCUCUCAUGCUGUGAUGGAUUUAUCAGAGACGAUGAUGGUAUUUGUCUAAGAAGCUUUAGUAGGAAAAUUGGUAGUUAUUCUGUAUUAUAGGUCAAACUUUGGGGAGCCUAUGAUGACCUUCAACUCGCUUGGAAUGUCAGAUUUCGCAACAUCAUCCUUGAAAGGGAUAGCUCUCUAGUUAUGGAAUU